GAUGAACGCUAGCUACAGGCUUAACACAUGCAAGUCGAGGGGAAACGACAUCGGAAGCUUGCUUUUGAUGGGCGUCGACCGGCGCACGGGUGAGUAACGCGGAUCCAACCUGUCCAUUACCUGGGGAUAACCUUGCCUAAGUAAGACUAAUACCCACUGAUAUCUCUAGAAGACAUCUGAACGUGAUUAAAGCUUUAUCGGCGAUGGAUGGGGCUGCGUCUGAUUAGGUUGUUGGCGGGCUAACGGCCCACCAAGGAAACGAGCAGUAGGGGUUCUGAGAGGAAGGGCCCCCACAUUGGAACGGAGACACGGGCCAAACUCCUACGGGAGGCAGCAGUGAGGAAUAAUGGGCAAUGAGCGAGAGCCUGAACCAGCCAAGUAGCGGGCAGGAAGACGGCCCUAUGGGUUGUAAACUGCUUUUAUAAGGGAAUAAAGUGAGAGUCGUGACUCUUUUUGUAUGUACCUUAUGAAUAAGGACCGGCUAAUUCCGUG
rnacentral:rRNA from 1 species